ACGGAUGAUGAUGGCAGCAGCAGCCGUUCUCCUCUGCCGGCCACCACAGUUUGGAUCAUGCGCUUGAAUUGGAAGGGGUAAGAAAACAGAAUUCAGUUGACUGCAAUCUACUGCCAUCUAGUGGUGAGAUUCUACACACUGUAACUUAAACAAGGAAUUUUUGAUAAGAAUGCUGCAAUACUGUAUAUUUAUUUUUUCAGUUUCUCUGUAAAACUUAUAGAUUUUUCUAAAAUACUCAGACCAGCCUGUCAGACACCAGUAAAUCACCUUUCUUCCCUAUGCUCAGUUUCAACUUAAAGCUACACAAACGCGCUCCUAUGUAUUUUUAGAUGUAAUGAUACAAUAGUCAAUGUGUUGAUUGGCUAAUUAAAGACUUACAUUAAUGAGCAGUUGAACAGGUGUCUAACAUUUUUCGAGCAAAACUGGCUUCCACACUGAACUUCACGCUGUGCCUGCAUGAAAACCACUAAUAUGAAGUGACCAGAAGGGGGCACUGCAGCACCCAACAGCAGUCUUGCUCUCAGGGCCUCAUGGGGGAUCCUCCUGGAGUUCCAGGCCUUGUCCUCGCUCGGGUCUACACAUACCACUGAGAGGUUUGGGGUUGUUUGAGGCCUCUCUCUGAAACCGGGAGGGACCCACAGAGCAGAGGGCACAUGAUCAAAAUCUAUGAAUUUCUUUCGAUCUUUGAGGCCCAGGACUACCUCAGCCCCAGCACUCAGCUGACCACAGCAGGGGUCCAACAGGGGGACAUCAUCUCGCAAAGGAGCCAGGGUGACACGCUCAGCAGGGGGCUGAAGUCUAAGAGAGCCUGCGUGUCCAGUUUUCGGUCUAUCUCUCCCACCAUCUCGGCGCAAACUGGAGUUCAGCCAUCUGAUGACGUGAAGCUCUGAGGAAAAAGGCUCGAAGGGAUCCAAAACUGCAGUCAUUACCGCCUGGGAGGAAAUUCCUUGAAGGCUUCUGUGAGUUUGUGCAGUGAGCGCUCGUUGCCCAGAGACUGGGUUCGUUUCCUGCUCGGAUCAAAUUACUGACAUGUAGACCUGUGUGCUGAGCGUGGAGGUGCAGCUCCACAUACCUGAGCACGAUAUUCUGUAUUUGUAAUAAUAUAAUAGAGCAAAGGUCUAAUAAACAUCCCCUGGUAUCCAUUCUGGAUGCCACACCACGCUGAUUCACUUCAGGGGAGCAUUCAUAACUAAUAAUGUUCCCUCUGAGCUGCUAUAUUUUGGCAAGCUACGCCUACUAAUUUAUCACUCUGACCACGUAAAAACAUUUAGUCAGUCAUGCCCUGGAAAAAUACUCCACACAAAUGUUGUUUUAGUGGCAAAUGAUAAAGGGAAGACUUGGCCCAGCCUCAGGGUUAGUGAACUGUGUGUCUCCUCCUCGGAGAACGCCACAUUACUUCUCGUGAUUGGUAAGGAGCCGUUUUAACCCCCUCCUUUUUAAAAGUUGCCCGCUUUUCCCCCAAGAAACCACAAGAUGGAGCAGUAGAGCCUAGACGUAAGAUGAAGCAGAGCAACACAGUCCCUUUUGAAUUCAAUGACAGUCCACAAAUAUCACAGCAAAAAAUAAAAGUCUCAGCUGUACUGUCAUGAUGAUGCAUUAUGAAUUCAGAACUACCAAGGUGACCACAAGUCCAACACCGACUUUGACCGAAGUCCCUGAAGACAUAUUAAAAUUAUUUAUUAAAUUAAAUUAUUUAUUUAUUUUUGCUCAUGAAGGCUAAACAAGUUGUUUUCCAAGCCUGAAGUGCUUUUAGCCGACAGAGAGACUUCAAAUGUAGGCUCUGUUUUGUUUUUGUUUUUAUUUAUUUUAUUUUUUUUUUUUAAAGCCGACAGUAAACUAAAUGAAAAUUAUGUAAAUCACACAGCAAAAGCAAAAAAGUGUUUUUACAAAGGCUGUAAUCUGGUGAAUGUGCAGGCUUUGAAAGAGCUGUCUCAUAUUCACUGAAGCCAAAAAGCACAGGAAUACUAUGUGCCUCGCUGCCUAUUAAUUAGCCUCCUCGAGUUGUCUGAAAUUUAAUGUACAAAUGUAAAUAAAUGCCCCACAAAUUUACAGGCACGAUGCGGCGUGCGUGCUUUAUAAUGAAUACUGAAGGCACCCUGGCUAGGUGGCAUUUUUUUCUUGGGAGAGAACUGAUGCUAAUGUGUCAGUGGUGGUGGUGAUGGUGAUGCUUGCUGAUAGAUGAUUUUUACUCGGGCUGUCAUUAGGAAAUGUAAACACCCAAGAGCUGUUGAAAAGGAUGUGUUAAAAAUAGCCUAAUUAGAGUUAUUCUGAUAACCGACUGGUGAAUAUGCCCAACUCCCACACAGUGCUCCUCCACAAAAGGAGAGCAGGAAUGACACUUGUGAAAUCUUCUGUGGCUUUCUUUUUGAAAUUACUUUUUUUUUUUUUUUUUUUUAAAUCACACCAUUUGUCACAACAGUCUUGUGGCUUGAAGUGUGUGGAUUUUCAAGUAUUUUGUAGGAAUUCGGUUAUAUGUGGGUCUAGAGGUCCACAUGACUUACUGGAGUUGGAUUCCACUAAUCCUUCCCUUAUGAGAGGUUAUAACUGCAUCACACUGUAUUCCUUCCAAUGCUUUUGUCUCCCAAUUAUUUCAGAGGGUUUUUUUUGUUGCUGCAGGAUUUUAAAUACCAGACUAGGCUUGAGAUGACUGUAUUAUUUUUUUUCUUUUUUGCAGGGAAUCAGAUAUUUCUGGAGCAAGCAGUCAUUACCAUCGGAGCAGCCCUUGUUACUGAAUCCUGUGUUAUUAGUCAGCUUGUCUGCCAUUCUCUAGACUCCUCCACAGUCUCAGAAAUAAUUUAAAUCUCACAUCUCGCCUGUGGUGCCAGGUCCAAUGCUAUAGUGCGGCAGCCACUAAUUUGCACAGUCUGCAUUCAUCUGAGAAAUAACUGUUGCUCUGGAUUAAGAGCCGCUGUUGUCCCCGAUGCUGCUGUCGCUGCAGAGGGUCAUCAAAGCAAACUCCCAAAUGUAGCGCCGGCUUUCUGAAGACAAUAUAGGCCGAUGCUGCUCCGGGGCAGCAGAGCCAGUAUUUUUGUUAAUUAGAGGGUUGAGGGUGAGUCGGUAUGACACCUCAGGAUCGUACAGGCAGGGCUAGGAGGUGAGGCGGCCACCUGGCACGUGGGGAGCGUAUCAUCACGGGGCGGAGAGGACGCUUUAGAAUGGGGACAGACAGCAUCGUUUAUCAUUGUAAGAAGGAGCUGCAAGAAAAUUAAACAGAUAAACGGGAAGAGAUGAAAGACAGAUAUUAAUGUCUGCAAGUGUUCGUAUCACUCCCGCAUAAAGCUUUGAUAUAUUAGGCAGCAAUACCUGUGGGGCCACAGCUCAUAAAAGUAAUUCCUCUAUCCAGCCAUCUCUGUAUGCAUGAUAUGCAAUAGAGUUCAUACAACAGAGCCCCAUCGACGUUUGUUGCAUAAAGCAUCCGCGGCUGGGAUUUCGUCCGUAUGUCUUGUAAACUGCUGAAAAUGCAUGACCAUAUUUAUAGCACAAGGGCCCUAAGUCAUAACUCGUGGGUCAAAUUCAUCACACUGUAAAGGCACUGAAUUGAUUACUGCCCGUUGACCAUGAAUGCAUUAGAUUAGAGGGCAAAUUGGCUGCAGUGUAGUCUGUGUCAUGCUGUGUGUGGCACCCUCAACCAUUUGGAAAAAUCCAAACAGAGUGCAUAGAUGUAGCUCCCACGAGCAGCAGGGGUAGCCAUGUCCUCAGAGAGUGGCCGAAGGCUUUAUUGUAGCGCUGCUUCCCUGCCCUCGGUUGCUGCAGCUCUCCGCUUGUCACACUGAGUUAGCUCAAUGAAGUAAUGAAUAUGCCGCUGUACAUUUUUCAUGAGGGAGGUGGGAGUGAAAAAUCUGCUCCUUAUAAUGCUUUUAAUAUGGAAGUUUUCACACACCCUCUUUCCCCCGCAAAGCCCUCUCCGAGCUAUCAUGGAGACGCAUGAGCAUGAUGGUUUAAUGUUAACAUUCCCCAGGGGAGAGUCAGCAUAACGCAAUGUCACUUUCAGUGAUGAAUAUGGUGACUGCAGCAGACAUACAAGCAGCUGUAUAUCAUGACUAAGUUGGGAUAACGGUGGCGUCUGCCCUCCUUUGAGAGAACGCUUUAGCUGCACAGGGGGAAAAAAACUGGUGGCCAAUUCUGUCACUUGAAUGGGUGACUCAGGCACAUCAUUACAGUAAUGAAUUAGUUUAUCAGGAAGCGCAACCAUAAGCUUCCAAAAAUGGAGGGCUAUUAAGUAUUCAAAGAUAAACGCAAACGAACACAAGGAAUAAUCAACAAGUAAAUAAUUAGGCAAAUGAUUCCGGCUUGGCAUGUUUGCAAUUAUUUUAAAUGAACUAUUUAAAAUCAUUUAACGUACAAGAAAACAAAUACCCACGCAGUAGAUCUAAAUAGUCAAACAUUAUGCUAACAAAGAUGGUGGUACUGAUACAUCACUGAUACUGAUACAAACUAAAUAAAUUAUAUUAGGACUACAGAUCUUUCCUUUUUCCACAUUUCUGUCUGGAGAGGCGUUAAACACGAGGAUGCAAAUGCAGACACCAAAGCAGACAGAAAUAACAAAGUCAAACCUUUAAUUUGGCCGAUACAUGAAGUCCAAAUGAACAAAGUCCAAAUAGCAAAUGCAAAAGGGAACAAAAGCUGAGAUCCAAAAUACACAAGGGGAGCAGAGAGCCAUAAGGGGAAAACACAAGAGCAAACAGGGAAGGACAACUGAUGUCUUGGCAAAGGACAAAGGAAAGGCAGCACUGUAUAUAUGCUGAGGGCUGACUGAGGGACAAACAGGGCAUGUGCUACUGUUACAAUGUGGAUGUUUAGAUUACAAUGUGGCUUCAAAUAGUGGUUUAGAAAAAGCUCAGAGUUCAGAUAGUUUGUUUCUAAGUGAUGAUUCACCCAUCUGCCUUUUUCAGGGGCAACGAAUCAAAUGGCUUACACGAAGGGGGAGGAGUUAAAAUGGCAUCUUUCAGACAGUGGAUGGACUUGGGAGCUGCGCAAAGGUCCACUUUGCAGUAACUAAGGAUUAUAUUGAAUUAUGUAAAUCAUGCACAUCUGUGACAGAUUUUAAUCAACUGAAAUUGUUUUUAAACUGCAUAUUCACAUGUUUGUGUUUAGGAAUAAACAUGGGAUGCUUCAGUACAUCUAUACAGUAUUGUGCAAAAGUCUUGAGCCACCCCUCAUUUCUUUAUAUUUUGUUAGGAAAAUGGGAAUCGUGAAAACAUACAUAGAAAUUAAGUAUAGAAGGCAAACACAUAGUUUUAAUUUAAUUAGCUUGAAAGUCAAUAUUUGGGAUGACCACCUUUAUUCCUCAACGCAGCCUGAACUCUCUUAGGCAAGCUUUCUUGUCAUGUCUUUUAAUAGUCUUAAGGAUUAGCUAUCCAAGCUCCUUGAAGGAAAUACAAAACUCUUUUUUGGCUUCCUUUUCUUCUGUUCUCUAUCAAAAUGAGCUCACACAGCUUCAAUAAUGUUGAAUAUCGAGCUCUGGGGACUGAUCGUGUUCCACUGUAUAUUUUUUAUGUCCAGGUAUGCACAUUGGUGGGGUCAUUACUCAGGAAAGGUAAUGUCUCAAACAUUAGUUUUUCUUAAAAGUAAUGUGUAAUGCAUUACCUUUUUAAAAAACUCAGCGCAGCAUGUUACUCGCGGGGAAAAGCAAUUAGUUACACAACUCGUUACAUUACUUUCUCGUUACUCUAUGAAAUGACCUGAAAGGGACUGUCACAAAUAGUCAACAAUAUAAAUCUGAGGCUACAGUGCACACUAACACACAUCUCUAUACACGUGGUAAUUCUUUUAGUUUUUAGGUAUGGGGACAAAGCAAAGAUAAAAACCAGUCCAAAAACACUUCAAAGCAAUCGCUACAGUCUUUCUACUUUAGAAACAUGAACAGGAAGAAAUGGAGGCUGCAAGUCUGAGUGCUCAUCACUGCUUUUGCUACUUGUUGAUGAGCAGGGUCUGGCUGUUGGGCUGGGGUCAGUGUGCACUCAGCUUUAAAAUCACUUUGGGCUGUUGGCUGAUUUCGUGUUAGCAAACUGUCUAUGCAGAUGUAAGAGCUUGAAAAGAGCUGAUGUUGUGUUAGCAGUAUAAUGCACUUGUCCCUGUCCUGGAUGCAGUUUCUGCUUUACCAUCACGCUUCUGUCCUUUUGUGAAAUAAAAAUAAAUUGAUGUCCAUAUCUUCACUCCUUAAAUGGCUGCAUGAGCCACCAUUUUUCUCCUCCCGAGCAU